CCAUACAAUGCCUUCAAAGAGUUCAAGGAAGCAGAAGAAGGCAUCGAUUACUUUUUACAAGACUUUGAGCGCCAGUGCCUAGAGUAGCUGUUGACAUUAUAGUUGCGCAGGCACUUUGAGAACCUCUAGAGAACCUCAGGCCAAUUGCACGUCCCCUUGACGGAGACGACGCAUUCGGAUGUCUGCCCUAUCAACUUUCAAUGGACUUUCUGCGCCUACCAUUGUGACCACGGGUAACGGGGAAUCAGGGUUCAAUUCCAGAGAGGGUGCCUGAGAAACGGCUACCACAUCCAAGGAAGGCAGCAGG